GAAGGUGAAGGUUAAAUCGUAACCUAGCCUUCACAGUGUUUUGGGAAGGGCAAUGCGAUGUAACCUUCACCUUCGAUAUGAUUGCAAAGCCUAUCCUGUAAAAUUCUCGACUUCGCCAGAAGCUGUUAUGUACAUAAGUAAACAUGUAGUAUACGUUUCAUGUGAUUUCAUUCAUAAAGCAUCUUGCUGAUUUAAACUAGUGCAAUACAUUUGCAUGUUUUGUGUUUUUGUGCAAUUUUAAUGAAGCCAACAUCCAUAGCCCUAAGCUUUGAAAGAUUUAAACCAGUGUCGUGCAAGUCAAGAGCUUAUGUCAUACUAAAUCUUGAUCUUAGCAAAGCUUGUCUUGGAAACGGAUGUGGCUACUUUUGAAAUACACAUAAUUAAUGCCAUAUAAAGUAGCUACGUCUAUAAUUGCCGAGCGAUGU
rnacentral:sRNA from 1 species